rnacentral:tRNA from 2 species
GCGCUAAUCGUCUAGUGGUUAGGAUGGCUCCCUUCCAAGGUUCUUGAAAUAGGAGUCGACCGGCGUUCGAGUCGCCGUUAGCGCA